rnacentral:lncRNA from 1 species
UAUAACAGUGCCACUCUCAGGAAUUACUAAGUGACAUUUUAAAUUGAUAUUUUAAACUCUUUCCAACUACAUAGUUAUGGUUUAUUUCAUUCUCAUCCUGUUGGGAUGAGAACUUGUUUGUGCCUUUCAUAACUUGUUUAAAGCAGAGUUUUAAAAUUAGUUUAUAGGAUCUGAGGUGGCUAUUAGUUACAGUGGCAAGAUUAUUUAGAAAGCAAGAUUUUGAUGAGAAUUAAAAACAAUAGAAAAUGUAGAGUGCUUAAACAAAAAUGUUAUAUUUUGAAAGAGUAGAUACUUAAUUUAUAAAUAACAGUCUGAAGGUUGGUGCUAUUUUGGGAUAAUUGUUUUGCUAAUGGAUAAUUCUAACAAUGCAGAAUACCUAGUCAAGACUGUCAUCAAAAACAUUCACAAAUGUUUCAUUCUAUUUUUAGUGACUCUGUUUAAAGAGUUUCUGAAAGGAAAGAAAUUUUUUAUUUUUAUUAUCUUUAGCAGUACUGAGUGUCAUAGCAGAAUAUUUUACAGACUUUCUAUGAGAUUAUUUUUAUGGUACAAAGUAUUUACAUUUCCCUCAUGUUUAUCAUUAUGCCAAUUUUACAUGGCAGUCAUGCCACUGACUCUGCUAUUUAGCUAAGUAAUUUCUUUUUUCGGAGACUGUCUCACUCUGUCUCCCAGGCUGGACUGCAGUGGUGCGAUUCUCCUGCCUCAGCCUCCCGAGUAGCGGGGAUUACAGGCACGCGCUGCCACGCCCCGCCAGUUUUCAUAUUUUUAGUAGAGACAGGGUUUUGCCGUGUUGGCCAGGCUGGUCUUGAACUCCUGACCUCAGGUGAUCCACCCACCUUGGCAUCCCAAAGUGCUGGGAUUACGAGCGUGAGUCACAGCACCCGGCUAAGUAAUUUCUAUUUAUUGUGCCAAAACAUGUCAAAAUCAUGACCUCUUUGAAUGGUAUAUUUGAGAGGAUGUUCAUUUCAUUGGUUAACCAUGGACUACUCUGUCCACGUAGUGAAAACAUGCACCAGUUUUUACCUAUUAUCAUGGUAGUAUCAUCUGCCAAAAUUUCAAGGCAUUCAUUUUAUUCUUUGAACAACUCUUCACCAUGGUGUGGACAUGAAUUUUCAUAUGUGUUACUUGACUAGAAGUAUAAAUGGUUUACUAUAGAUAUCCAAAAACCUUGAGAUUUGCUCAUAGGAAAUGAAUAUUGUGAUGAAUCCUGGGCUCUAGAGUCAGACUUGCUUGGGUUUAAAUUCUUGCUCUAACACUUACUGUUUUUGUAACCUUGAGCAAUUUUAAUCUCUCUGUGUCUCAAUUUCCUCAUCUUUUAAUUAGGGAUGAUAAUACUACCUACCUCACAGGAUUUUUAUGAGGAUUAAAUAAAUGUAAGGUUUUUAGAACAUUGAUAGGGAGCAAUAAAUAGAAGAUUGUAUUAUUAUUCUGUUACCUUGGAGUGUAAGUACUGCAUUUAAGUGAAUGAAAAAUUUGCUUUGACCAGAUACUGAAGGAAAUAAGUAAUAGCUAGUAUUUAUCCAAUGCCAACUGUAUGCUAGGUACUGUGCUUAGAUAAUCUGUGUAUAAUAGUGUUAAUCCUCAAAAUUUGGGUGUUAUACCCCUAUUAUAGAUAAGGAAACUGAGGCUCAGAGACAAAGUAACUUUGUCACUGUCACAAAGCUAGUAAGUAACAGAGGUAGGAUUUAUAUUCAAAACCCUGUGUGUUCAUUGGAACCGUAUCAGGCUUGGGGCUAUUCAUGUAGCAUUAUUUCCAUUUUUAUGUAUAUGAUAUAUGACGUCUGAUGCAUUGGCCAGUAAUAGUCAAAUUAACCCAGCCAAAUUGUCACAGUGAUUCUUAAACUGUGGUUCUCACACUUGCCCAGGAUGUUGUUAAAUGCAGAUCUGAAGACCCCAAUCUCAGAAAUUCAAAUUUAAGCAUGGGGCCCAAGAGUAUGCAUUCUUACCAGAUACCUUGGGCAGUGACUGUCAAAAGUCUGGUCCCAACAAACAGCAUUAACGUCACCUGGGAACUUGUUGGAAAUGCAGCCUCUCUCGGGGCCUCAUCUCAGAUCAGAUCUACUAAAUCAGAUACUCUAGGGGCAGGGGCAGGGGCAGGGGCUAGCAGUUGUGUUUAAGCAAACUCUGCAGGUGUCUUUCUUAUCCUAGUUUGAGAACCAAUACCCAACAACCUACGUGAUUUUGGUGCAAGUAGUGUUUGAAACACACUGAAGAUUACUGCCCAAUUACUAAGACAUUUUUCAAAAAGCAUGUUUUAAAUCAGUGUAGUCCAGGAUCACACUAUAUUAAAUAUAAAGAUAACUUAAAGGAUCAUUGGAUCAUUCAUUUUGGCCAAAUUUUUAGCUUCUCCAAAGUGACUAACAUCAGGGCCUACAAUAAAAUCUGUAAUUCUCCAAGUUUAGUAAUUUUAUAUUGAGGCAGGAAGGGCUCAUUAAGUACUAAUAAGUACAUAAUUUAUUAAAAACAUACAUAAGUGUCAUCAAAAAGGUCCACAAUUGUUAGUAAAAAAAAUUAAAUUGAAGUAGUAAAUGCUGUUUUAUAACAUACAUUUUUCUGCUAAUUCAUUCUGUUUUGUGUGACCUAAUAAAGCAAAAGAAAAAUAAAAAAGCAAUUCUCCAAGUACUUCAUAGAGCACAUAAAACCAGAUUUCAUGAUGAUGAUGUAUUCACUAUCUUUUAGAUUAAGAUCUUUGUUAUUUGGUAAAUGAUUUCAGUAUGGUUUUAAAACAUAAGGCUUUUGAUGUCUUAUGUUCUCUAAUAAUGGUAUGCUUGUAUUUUCUAGUGGGAAGUUCAUAGAUAAAGCAGAUUUUUGUCCCAGUUUGCUUUCAAAUAUAAAUUUCAGAGGGCUUUUUCUUACUGUAAUGAGGUAUGAAAAUAAAUCAUUGAUCAGCUCUUAAUAUUUUUUGAAUACAGAAUUGGAUUUGAGCAGUAAAUUUGCUAACUGGUUAUUUUCACAAUUUUCUUGAAUAUUAAUUUUUCACUUCUUUGAGACUGUCAAACUAUAGUUACUACCAGGUUGAUGCACUGUACUUGAAAGAAUCCCUUGAUUAAAUUACAUCUAGCAUUUUAUUUGCCAUUUCAAUUUUCAGUUCAUUAGACUAUAAUUCUUUGACAGUUUCUGCCUGGUGUUUAUUGCCCUUCUUUGUUUGCUUUAUUACUAACUUCCAUUUUCUAGUUACUCUUAAAUGCUGCCUUCACAAGGUUAAUUUGGCUGUUAAUAGUGAUUAGAAUUUUUAUCACUUAAUUGAUAAUUUUAAGCCUACUAACUAGGGUUCCCUAUGAAAUUGAAAGUAAAAGUCUAAGAAUAAUGCCUGCUGGCUCUCGAGAUACUUGCCCUACUUAAAAAUCUAUAAUUUAAAAUUAAUUCUAUGUCUACAAUUAUUAAAGGAAGUAAAGUUAUUUGGGUUCUUCCACUCACCCUUUUCUCAAAAACAACAACAAAAAACAAAACUCAUUUUAUUUUUCUACUUUAUAGUAGGCCUGACAGAAACAUAGUGAAGCAAUCUGGGAGGCAACCUGUGGUAGAUUUUAUGCUAAAUGUUAAUGUAACCUCUGUUGAUUUUUUAAAAAUGUGUUUAUAUAUAAGAUUUGAAAUAAAAACUUUAAUACAGGCUAGAAUAAGGAAUUUUACAAAUUCUCUUUAGAGCAACCAACAUUAAAGUUUUAGAGUUGAAUUUUGCUCUAUUUCAACUCCCUUACCUCUCUAGUUUUCAGUUUAUAUUAAGUUUUAAUAACUUUGCGGGGCCCUGCAAAUUAAUAAUCUACAUGAAGUAUAUUAUUAGAGGGAAACUAAUCUUACUGCUAAGCAGUGUGUUGUACUACAUAGUGAAUGUUCGUGUUUUGGAAUUUAAAAAUUAUUUAAGGUAAUGGUGUUACGAAUGGUUUAAAAAUGUCUGGUGACUUGCUUAUUUUUAAGUGAUCACCAUUAAGUCAGAAAAAUGUAUUUUUAAAUGUUUCUUGAAGUGCCUUUUGAACAUUUUUAAACAGCGGAU